rnacentral:rRNA from 1 species
GAGGUUAAGCGACUAAGCGUACACGGUGGAUGCCCUGGCAGUCAGAGGCGAUGAAGGGCGUACUAAUCUGCGAUAAGCGCCGGUAAGGUGAUAUGAACCGUUAUAACCGGCGAUACCCGAAUGGGGAAACCCAGUGUGAUUCGUCACACUAUCAUUAACUGAAUCCAUAGGUUAAUGAGGCGAACCGGGGGAACUGAAACAUCUAAGUACCCCGAGGAAAAGAAAUCAACCGAGAUUCCCCCAGUAGCGGCGAGCGAACGGGGAGGAGCCCAGAGCCUGAAUCAGCAUGUGUGUUAGUGGAAGCGUCUGGAAAGGCGCGCGAUACAGGGUGACAGCCCCGUACACAAAAGCGCAUGUGCUGUGAGCUCGAUGAGUAGGGCGGGACACGUGGUAUCCUGUCUGAAUAUGGGGGGACCAUCCUCCAAGGCUAAAUACUCCUGACUGACCGAUAGUGAACCAGUACCGUGAGGGAAAGGCGAAAAGAACCCCGGCGAGGGGAGUGAAAAAGAACCUGAAACCGUGUACGUACAAGCAGUGGGAGCACCCUUUGGGUGUGACUGCGUACCUUUUGUAUAAUGGGUCAGCGACUUAUAUUCUGUAGCAAGGUUAACCGAAUAGGGGAGCCGGAGGGAAACCGAGUCUUAACCGGGCGUUAAGUUGCAGGGUAUAGACCCGAAACCCGGUGAUCUAGCCAUGGGCAGGUUGAAGGUUGGGUAACACUAACUGGAGGACCGAACCGACUAAUGUUGAAAAAUUAGCGGAUGACCUGUGGCUGGGGGUGAAAGGCCAAUCAAACCGGGAGAUAGCUGGUUCUCCCCGAAAGCUAUUUAGGUAGCGCCUCGUGAAUUCAUCUCCGGGGGUAGAGCACUGUUUCGGCUAGGGGGCCAUCCCGGCUUACCAACCCGAUGCAAACUGCGAAUACCGGAGAAUGUUAUCACGGGAGACACACGGCGGGUGCUAACGUCCGUCGUGAAGAGGGAAACAACCCAGACCGCCAGCUAAGGUCCCAAAGUCAUGGUUAAGUGGGAAACGAUGUGGGAAGGCCCAGACAGCCAGGAUGUUGGCUUAGAAGCAGCCAUCAUUUAAAGAAAGCGUAAUAGCUCACUGGUCGAGUCGGCCUGCGCGGAAGAUGUAACGGGGCUAAACCAUGCACCGAAGCUGCGGCAGCGACACUGUGUGUUGUUGGGUAGGGGAGCGUUCUGUAAGCCUGCGAAGGUGGCCUGUGAGGGUUGCUGGAGGUAUCAGAAGUGCGAAUGCUGACAUAAGUAACGAUAAAGCGGGUGAAAAGCCCGCUCGCCGGAAGACCAAGGGUUCCUGUCCAACGUUAAUCGGGGCAGGGUGAGUCGACCCCUAAGGCGAGGCCGAAAGGCGUAGUCGAUGGGAAACGGGUUAAUAUUCCCGUACUUGGUGUUACUGCGAAGGGGGGACGGAGAAGGCUAUGUUGGCCGGGCGACGGUUGUCCCGGUUUAAGCGUGUAGGUGUGUGUUCCAGGUAAAUCCGGUUCACUUUAACACUGAGGCGUGACGACGAGGCACUACGGUGCUGAAGCAACAAAUGCCCUGCUUCCAGGAAAAGCCUCUAAGCAUCAGGUAACAUCAAAUCGUACCCCAAACCGACACAGGUGGUCAGGUAGAGAAUACCAAGGCGCUUGAGAGAACUCGGGUGAAGGAACUAGGCAAAAUGGUGCCGUAACUUCGGGAGAAGGCACGCUGACACGUAGGUGAAGUGAUUUACUCAUGGAGCUGAAGUCAGUCGAAGAUACCAGCUGGCUGCAACUGUUUAUUAAAAACACAGCACUGUGCAAACACGAAAGUGGACGUAUACGGUGUGACGCCUGCCCGGUGCCGGAAGGUUAAUUGAUGGGGUCAGCGCAAGCGAAGCUCCUGAUCGAAGCCCCGGUAAACGGCGGCCGUAACUAUAACGGUCCUAAGGUAGCGAAAUUCCUUGUCGGGUAAGUUCCGACCUGCACGAAUGGCGUAAUGAUGGCCAGGCUGUCUCCACCCGAGACUCAGUGAAAUUGAACUCGCUGUGAAGAUGCAGUGUACCCGCGGCAAGACGGAAAGACCCCGUGAACCUUUACUAUAGCUUGACACUGAACAUUGAGCCUUGAUGUGUAGGAUAGGUGGGAGGCUUUGAAGUGUGGACGCCAGUCUGCAUGGAGCCGACCUUGAAAUACCACCCUUUAAUGUUUGAUGUUCUAACGUGGACCCGUUACCCGGGUUGCGGACAGUGUCUGGUGGGUAGUUUGACUGGGGCGGUCUCCUCCUAAAGAGUAACGGAGGAGCACGAAGGUUGGCUAAUCCUGGUCGGACAUCAGGAGGUUAGUGCAAUGGCAUAAGCCAGCUUGACUGCGAGCGUGACGGCGCGAGCAGGUGCGAAAGCAGGUCAUAGUGAUCCGGUGGUUCUGAAUGGAAGGGCCAUCGCUCAACGGAUAAAAGGUACUCCGGGGAUAACAGGCUGAUACCGCCCAAGAGUUCAUAUCGACGGCGGUGUUUGGCACCUCGAUGUCGGCUCAUCACAUCCUGGGGCUGAAGUAGGUCCCAAGGGUAUGGCUGUUCGCCAUUUAAAGUGGUACGCGAGCUGGGUUUAGAACGUCGUGAGACAGUUCGGUCCCUAUCUGCCGUGGGCGCUGGAGAACUGAGGGGGGCUGCUCCUAGUACGAGAGGACCGGAGUGGACGCAUCACUGGUGUUCGGGUUGUCAUGCCAAUGGCACUGCCCGGUAGCUAAAUGCGGAAGAGAUAAGUGCUGAAAGCAUCUAAGCACGAAACUUGCCCCGAG